rnacentral:lncRNA from 1 species
UGGCUUAGUUUGCCACUAUAGGUGUAUAGACAUUUUGUUUGUGUUAUUUUGUGUUAUUGUAUUAUCACUGUUGGGUGCCUACGUGCUCUUUGUUUACAGUUUUUAUCUUAUGUGUUACCACUUUAUAUCUGGCAUCAUGUGCAUAACCCGAGUCAUUCUUUCUGCAACAAGUCCGUAGUACACAUGUUGUACACGAUCUCUAGUUGAGUCAUCCUUAUUUUAGGGGGGAGCCAGCGGUGUUAUGGAUUAGGUGGAAAUCAAAGCAGCCGCUAUCGACCACACGCUCCCCCGA